CAAGUUAGAGCUUGAUAAAGCAUUUUAGUUACAUUAAAAAGUUUAUUGUAUAAUCAAUAUAACUUGA
rnacentral:tRNA from 1 species